rnacentral:rRNA from 2 species
UGAGGAAUAUUGGUCAAUGGGCGGAAGCCUGAACCAGCCAAGUAGCGUGCAGGAUGACGGCCCUACGGGUUGUAAACUGCUUUUGCGGGAGGAUAAAUUCGCCCACGUGUGGGCGCUUGCAGGUAUCCCGCGAAUAAGGACCGGCUAAUUCCGUGCCAGCAGCCGCGGUAAUACGGAAGGUCCGGGCGUUAUCCGGAUUUAUUGGGUUUAAAGGGAGCGCAGGCGGAGAUGCAAGCGUGCCGUGAAAUCGCGGGGCUCAACCCCGUCCAGCGGCGCGAACUGCAUCCCUUGGUUGCGGGAGAGGAAGGCGGAACUCGUGGUGUAGCGGUGAAAUGCAUAGAUAUCACGAAGAACUCCGAUCGCGAAGGCAGCCUUCCGGCCCGUUAACGACGCUCAUGCUCGAAGGCGCGGGUAUCAAACAGG